GCCAACAUGGCAUAGUGGUUUGAGUGUGGGACUACAAUUCUGGAGACCAGGGUUUGAUUCCUGGCUUGGCC
rnacentral:tRNA from 1 species